rnacentral:rRNA from 1 species
GAUGAACGCUAGCGGGAGGCUUAACACAUGCAAGUCGAGCGGGAUCCCCUUCGGGGGUGAGAGCGGCGAACGGGUGCGUAACGCGUAUGCAACCUGCCUUAUGCAGGGGGAUAGCCCAUGGAAACGUGGAUUAAUACCCCAUACUACCCUAUGGCGGCAUCGCCUAAAGGUAAAACUCCGGUGGCAUAAGAUGGGCAUGCGUCUGAUUAGCUAGAUGGUAGGGCAACGGCCUACCAUGGCGACGAUCAGUAGGGGUCCUGAGAGGGUUACCCCCCACACUGGUACUGAGACACGGACCAGACUCCUACGGGAGGCAG